GGCGAAUCAGCGGCCGCUAUCCCUACUCGGUUUCCCUGGUCCCUCUCGGUCACUCCAUGGGUCGGUCGCUUCGUAGCCCGCCGACUCCCAAAACCCAGUCCCCUCGCGUUUCAAGGUCACCCGAGGAGGUAACUUCGUCUUUCUACUCUCCCCCGUUGUUCUUUCUUCCUGUUUUUGCUUGUUCUUGGAGCAGUCCGCUUCCGUUUCUGAAGCAACAUGAGAACCUUUUUUUGUUGAUUGUGCCCUUUUUGUUAAGUCACAUCCUUUCGCCUCUCAUUUUUCGAUGUUCGUCUUAUUGAAAGAAACCGAGUCUUUCAGAUUUCAUCUCGCGUGACCUCACGGAAAGUCGCUGGCGUACUCUCUGUGGUAAUGUGAUUGUUGACAGAGUUAGUUGAAAUAAACAUGUUUUUUAGCGGUUCUUUCUUUUCGCCCUAUUUCUUUGGCAUUCGUAAUAGGCUCGUGGCAGUGUUUGUAGUCUUGAAAUGGGAUAGGAAAUCCCUUUUGUUUGAAGGUUUUCCUUUUUGCUAUGUAUGCUUGGGAAAAGGUAAUAUUUUGUUGAAACAUGUUGUCGUAUGUUUUCUCGGGCUUCUUAUGAGUCGGUCGUUAGGCCUAAGCGGUCAUCUUCUGUUUGUAUCUUUCUUUUUGUUUCUUAGCUGAUUUGAUUGUGGAAGAAUUAUGAAACAAUGUUGAACUAGAACAUAUAUAUUCUUAAUUUUUUUUCCUGUUAUUACUGGAAAUAUAUUUCAGCCGAUGCCAAAAAGAAUUCCCUUUUUAUUCAUGAUCUAUAUCAUUACCUUAUCACUUGCAUCUAAGAGCUGCCACUAGAGAUAAUUUGAUAGAAUCUACAAAGUAUAUAUAAGUGUAUCAUCCUUGUAGGAAGGGCAUAAUUAUGUGGGCAUGUUUUCCUUUCUGGAUAAUGCAGAAUGGAAUUAUGCCACCGACCCAAAUUAGUAAGCAGAAACCUC
rnacentral:lncRNA from 1 species